rnacentral:rRNA from 1 species
CGCUUUCAGCAGGGAAGAAGCGAAAGUGACGGUACCUGCAAAAGAAGCACCGGCUAACUAUGUGCCAGCAGCCGCGGUAAUACAUAGGGUGCAAGCGUUGUCCGGAAUUAUUGGGCGUAAAGAGCUCGUAGGUCGUUAAUUACGUCGGGUGUGAAAAUCUGGGGCUCAACCCCAGACCUGCACUCGAUACGGGUUAGCUAGAGUUUGGUAGGGGAGACUGGAAUUCCUGGUGUAGCGGUGGAAUGCGCAGAUAUCAGGAGGAACACCAAUGGCGAAGGCAGGUCUCUGGGCCAAUACUGACACUGAGGAGCGAAAGCGCGGGGAGCGAACAGGAUUAGAUACCCUGGUAGUCCGCGCCGUAAACGGUGGGCGCUAGUUGUGGGAACCUUCCAC